AGGGCACCACCAGGAGUGGAGCCUGCGGCUUAAUUUGACUCAACACGGGGAAACUCACCCGGCCCGGACACCGCGAGGAUUGACAGAUUGACAGCUCUUUCAUGAUUCGGUGGAUGGUGGUGCAUGGCCGUUCUUAGUUCGUGGAGCGAUUUGUCUGGUUUAUUCCGAUAACGAGCGAGACUCUAGCCUGCUAAAUAGUCCAGUCAUCCCGCUAGUGACUGCCGACUUCUUAGAGGGAUCAUCGGCGUUCAGCCGCACGAGAUUGAGCAAUAACAGGUCUGUGAUGCCCUUAGAUGUCCGGGGCUGCACGCGCGCUACACUGGCGAAGGCAGCGUGCCUGUCCUUUCCCGAAAGGGAUGGGUAAACCAUUGAAAAUUCGCCGUGAUUGGGAUCGGAAAUUGCAAUUAUUUUCCGUGAACGAGGAAUUCCAAGUAAGUGCGAGUCAUCAACUCGCGUUGAUUACGUCCCUGCCCUUUGUACACACCGCCCGUCGCUGCCCGGGACUGAGCCAUUUCGAGA
rnacentral:rRNA from 1 species